rnacentral:ncRNA from 2 species
UUCGUCUCACGUAACUGGCGAAAAGCCGGGACCUUGUUCCGGCACAAGAUGGGUAUCCAUCGGGAAGCGUGAGAUUUCAUUAGCCGUGCGCCUGGGCAGCCCUG